rnacentral:rRNA from 1 species
GACGAACGCUGGCGGCGUGCUUAACACAUGCAAGUCGAACGGUAAGGCCCUUCGGGGUACACGAGUGGCGAACGGGUGAGUAACACGUGGGUGAUCUGCCCUGCACUUCGGGAUAAGCCUGGGAAACUGGGUCUAAUACCGGAUAGGACCACUGCCUGCAUGGGUGGUGGUGGAAAGCUUUUGCGGUGUGGGAUGGGCCCGCGGCCUAUCAGCUUGUUGGUGGGGUGAUGGCCUACCAAGGCGACGACGGGUAGCCGGCCGGAGAGGGUGAACGGCCACACUGGGACUGAGAUACGGCCCAGACUCCUACGGGAGGCAGCAGUGGGGAAUAUUGCACAAUGGGCGCAAGCCUGAUGCAGCGACGCCGCGUGAGGGAUGACGGCCUUCGGGUUGUAAACCUCUUUCAGCACCGACGAAGCGCAAGUGACGGUAGGUGCAGAAGAAGGACCGGCCAACUACGUGCCAGCCGCCGCCGUAA